AUUGAACGCUGGCGGCAUGCCUUACACAUGCAAGUCGAACGGCAGCGGGCCUUCGGGUGCCGGCGAGUGGCGAACGGGUGAGUAAUGCAUCGGAACGUGCCAUUGAGUGGGGGGAUAACGUAGCGAAAGUUGCGCUAAUACCGCAUAUUCUGUGAGCAGGAAAGCAGGGGACCGCAAGGCCUUGCGCUCUUUGAGCGGCCGAUGUCAGAUUAGCUAGUUGGUGAGGUAACGGCUUACCAAAGGCGACGAUCUGUAGCGGGUCUGAGAGGAUGAUCCGCCACACUGGAACUGAGACACGGUCCAGACUCCUACGGGAGGCAGCAGUGGGGAAUUUUGGACAAUGGGGCAACCUGAUCCAGCCAUGCCGCGUGAGUGAAGAAGGCCUGGUUGUAA
rnacentral:rRNA from 1 species